UGGGGCAGUUGGCAAGGGAAGCAGGUGGUGGGGACAGCUGCCACAGGAAGCAUGGGCAGAGUUGGGGAAGUGUAUGAUGGAGAGGGGAAUUAAGAGUGAGAAGUGGAGUUGGAACAAUGGAGCCGGCUCUGCUCUUCCAAAUUACUCAGUUGUUGAUGUUUGCCUACCAACAAUCAAUACAGAACAUGAGCAUGUGUUCUUGGGACAGGAUUGAAACAUGGCACCUGAACACAUAAGGGACACUGGUCAACAGUAGCUGUACUGUUCUGAAUUUGAAUGAUAAGAUCUCAAAGGGAGCAUUCAUGUGAAAAACAGCAAAACAAUCAAUACAAACUGGGUUGCACAUUGCAGGCCUGGCUUUGGUUCAAGUUUAGGUGAAAUCAUGCGACACUAAAUGUGGAAACAAGCUUUUGCUUUUUGAAUAGUUUUUAUGAAGUCUUCUGGAAACUAUCUAAAUGUGUCACUAUGUUGUCUAAUAAUGAGGCAGAUGCUGUAUGUAGCAUAUUAAAGAGAAUUUUUCCUUUUUUGUAACUGUUGUGGAUAAGUACAACUUUCAAGUCCAGUCUUGCAAACUGUUGUAGCCAAUGAGAUGCCUCGUGUGAGUAAGGGUUUGCAUAACAGUCUGUGGGCAUAAUGCCAGCAUAAACUCUAAUCAUCAACAGGUUGUUUUGAAAGUCCAGAAACUACUACUGUCCUUUCAGGGAAAGUAACAACAAAAUCAUUAGUCCAAGCCCUGGAAAUUUGGAGUACUGGUAUGUUCUUUCAGGGUGCUGUAAAGCCGAUCAAGUGAAACUAUUAAAAGGAAAAAGCUAUGCUAAUGUAAUAUUACAGAUAGGUACUAUUUUAAACA